UACGGGGGGAGCAAGCGUUGUUCGGAUUUACUGGGCGUAAAGGGCGCGUAGGCGGCCACCGCAAGUCAGUUGUGAAAUCUCUGGGCUUAACCCAGAAAGGUCAACUGAUACUGCGGGGCUAGAGUGCAGAAGGGGCAACUGGAAUUCUCGGUGUAGCGGUGAAAUGCGUAGAUAUCGGGAGGAACACCUGUGGCGAAAGCGGCGCACUGGACCACAACUGACGCUGAGGCGCGAAAGCUAGGGGAGCAAACAGG
rnacentral:rRNA from 1 species